CAGCAGUGGGGAAUAUUGCGCAAUGGGGGAAACCCUGACGCAGCAAUACCGCGUGAGUGAAGAAGGUUUUCGGAUCGUAAAGCUCUGUUAUUGGGGAAGAAAAAAAGACGGUACCCAAGAAGAAAGUCCCGGCUAACUACGUGCCAGCAGCCGCGGUAAUACGUAGGGGACAAGCGUUGUCCGGAUUUACUGGGCGUAAAGGGCACGCAGGCGGUUUUUUAAGUCAGAUGUGAAAGGUACCGGCUCAACCGGUGACAUGCAUUUGAAACUGAAAGACUUGAGUAUUGGAGAGGCAAGUGGAAUUCCUAGUGUAGCGGUGAAAUGCGUAGAUAUUAGGAGGAACACCGGUGGCGAAGGCGGCUUGCUGGACAAAUACUGACGCUGAGGUGCGAAAGCGUGGGGAGCAAACAGGAUUAGA
rnacentral:rRNA from 1 species